GAUGAACGCUGGCGGCGUGCCUAAUACAUGCAAGUCUAGCGAACGGACGAGAAGCUUGCUUCUCUGAUGUUAGCGGCGGACGGGUGAGUAACACGUGGAUAACCUACCUAUAAGACUGGGAUAACUUCGGGAAACCGGAGCUAAUACCGGAUAAUAUUUUGAACCGCAUGGUUCAAAAGUGAAAGACGGUCUUGCUGUCACUUAUAGAUGGAUCCGCGCUGCAUUAGCUAGUUGGUAAGGUAACGGCUUGCCAAGGCAACGAUGCAUAGCCGACCUGAGAGGGUGAUCGGCCACACUGGAACUGAGACACGGUCCAGACUCCUACGGGAGGCAGCAGUAGGGAAUCUUCCGCAAUGGGCGAAAGCCUGACGGAGCAACGCCGCGUGAGUGAUGAAGGUCUUCGGAUCGUAAAACUCUGUUAUUAGGGAAGAACAUAUGUGUAAGUAACUGUGCACAUCUUGACGGUACCUAAUCAGAAAGCCACGGCUAACUACGUG
rnacentral:rRNA from 1 species